UACAGAGGUCCCGAGCGUUGUUCGGAUUCACUGGGCGUAAAGGGUGCGUAGGUGGUGAGGAAAGUCGGAUGUGAAAUCUCCGGGCUUAACCCGGAAAUGGCAUUGGAAACUACCUUGCUAGAGGUUUUGAGGGGGGACUGGAAUUCUCGGUGUAGCAGUGAAAUGCGUAGAUAUCAGGAGGAACACCGAUGGCGAAGGCAGGUCUCUGGGCUGACACUGACGCUCAUGCACGAAAGCGUGGGGAGCAAACAGG
rnacentral:rRNA from 1 species